rfam:Picea glauca, whole genome shotgun sequence.
UUAUGUACAUUCCUAAAAUGUAUUGUUAAUGAAUUGGAUCCCAUUAGAACUCUGCAAUUAAACGUGCUUGGGAUAUAAUAGUACUUGGAUGGGUGACCCCCCAAGAAGUUAUAGUGUUUUACAUGCC